rnacentral:rRNA from 1 species
GGGGAAUAUUGGACAAUGGGCGCAAGCCUGAUCCAGCCAUGCCGCGUGAGUGAUGAAGGCCCUAGGGUUGUAAAGCUCUUUCACCCACGAGGAUAAUGACGGUAGUGGGAGAAGAAGCCCCGGCUAACUUCGUGCCAGCAGCCGCGGUAAUACGAAGGGGGCUAGCGUUGUUCGGAAUUACUGGGCGUAAAGCGCACGUAGGCGGACUUUUAAGUCAGGGGUGAAAUCCCGGGGCUCAACCUCGGAAUUGCCUUUGAUACUGGGAGUCUUGAGUCCGAGAGAGGUGAGUGGAACUCCGAGUGUAGAGGUGAAAUUCGUAGAUAUUCGGAAGAACACCAGUGGCGAAGGCGGCUCACUGGCUCGGUACUGACGCUGAGGUGCGAAAGCGUGGGGAGCAAAC